rnacentral:rRNA from 1 species
AUACGAACUGCGCGAACGUUAUUCGGAAUCACUGGGCUUAAAGAGUCCGUAGGCGGCUCGGUAGGUGGGGUGUGAAAGCCCACGGCUCAACCGUGGAAUAGCGCUCCAAACCAUCGGGCUUGAGGGAGAUAGAGGAGAGUGGAACUGAUGGUGGAGCGGUGAAAUGCGUUGAUAUCAUCAGGAACACCGGUGGCGAAAGCGGCUCUCUGGGUCUCUUCUGACGCUGAGGGACGAAAGCUAGGGGAGCGAACGGGAUUAGAAACCCCUGUAGUCC